CUUGCCCCUGUAGCUUAGUUGGUUAAAGCAAUGACUAUUAGUGGAAAUUACAAGAAAUAGGAGAAAGGUUCGAAUCCUUUCGGUGGCUA